rnacentral:tRNA from 1 species
AGUUAAUGAACUUGUAUAUAAGUAUAUAUUUUGAAAAUAUAAAAAAGAAAUUAUUUCUAUUAACUU